rnacentral:rRNA from 1 species
GAUGAACGCUGGCGGCGUGCCUAACACAUGCAAGUCGAACGAAGCGAUCGAGAUGAAGUUUUCGGAUGAAUUCGAGAUUGACUGAGUGGCGGACGGGUGAGUAACGCGUGGGUAACCUGCCUCAUACAGGGGGAUAACAGUUAGAAAUGACUGCUAAUACCGCAUAAGCGCACAGUACCGCAUGGUACAGUGUGAAAAACUCCGGUGGUAUGAGAUGGACCUGCGUCUGAUUAGCUAGUUGGUGAGGUAACGGCCCACCAAGGCGACGAUCAGUAGCCGACCUGAGAGGGUGACCGGCCACAUUGGGACUGAGACACGGCCCAAACUCCUACGGGAGGCAGCAGUGGGGAAUAUUGCACAAUGGGGGAAACCCUGAUGCAGCGACGCCGCGUGAGUGAAGAAGUAUUUCGGUAUGUAAAGCUCUAUCAGCAGGGAAGAAAAUGACGGUACCUGACUAAGAAGCCCCGGCUAACUACGUGCCAGCCGCCGCAGUAAUAC